rnacentral:rRNA from 1 species
UACGUAGGGGGCGAGCGUUGUCCGGAUUUAUUGGGCGUAAAGGGCUCGUAGGCGGCCAACUAAGUCAGACGUGAAAUCCCUCGGCUUAACCGGGGAACUGCGUCUGAUACUGGAUGGCUUGAGAUUGGGAGAGGGAUGCGGAAUUCCAGGUGUAGCGGUGAAAUGCGUAGAUAUCUGGAGGAACACCGGUGGCGAAGGCGGCAUCCUGGACCAACACUGACGCUGAGGGAGCGAAAGCCAGGGGAGCAAACGGG